rnacentral:rRNA from 1 species
UACGUAGGGUGCGAGCGUUGCCCGGAUUUAUUGGGCGUAAAGGGCGCGCAGGCGGCCACGCGCGUCCGUUGUGAAAUCGCUCGGCUCAACUGGGCGAGGUCAGCGGAUACGGCGUGGCUGGAGCAAGCUAGGGGGCAAUGGAAUUCCCGGUGUAGUGGUGGAAUGCGUAGAUAUCGGGAGGAACACCAGUGGCGAAGGCGGUUGCCUGGAGCUUUGCUGACGCUGAGGCGCGAAAGCCAGGGGAGCAAACGGG